GGCGACACCGCGCGGAACCCGAAAGCCGUUCUCAGUUCGGAUCGGAGUCUGCAACCCGACUCCGUGAAGCUGGAUUCGCUAGUAAUCGCGCAUCAGCCAUGGCGCGGUGAAUACGUUCCCGGGCCUUGUACACACCGCCCGUCAAGCCAUGGGAGCCGGGGGUGCUUGAAGUGCGUCGCCGCAAGGCGCGCCCUAGAGCAAAACCGGUGACUGGGGCUAAGUCGUAACAAGGUAGC
rnacentral:rRNA from 1 species